AUUGAACGCUGGCGGCAUGCUUUACACAUGCAAGUCGAACGGUAACAGGCCGCAAGGUGCUGACGAGUGGCGAACGGGUGAGUAAUGCAUCGGAACGUGCCCAGUCGUGGGGGAUAACGCAGCGAAAGCUGUGCUAAUACCGCAUACGAUCUAUGGAUGAAAGCGGGGGACCGUAAGGCCUCGCGCGAUUGGAGCGGCCGAUGUCAGAUUAGGUAGUUGGUGGGGUAAAGGCCUACCAAGCCGACGAUCUGUAGCUGGUCUGAGAGGACGACCAGCCACACUGGGACUGAGACACGGCCCAGACUCCUACGGGAGGCAGCAGUGGGGAAUUUUGGACAAUGGGCGCAAGCCUGAUCCAGCAAUGCCGCGUGCAGGAAGAAGGCCUUCGGGUUGCAAACUGCUUUUGUACGGAACGAAACGGUCUGGGUUAAUACCUGGGGUCCAUGACGGUACCGUAAGAAUAAGCACCGGCUAACUACGUGCCAGCCGCCGCAGUAAAAC
rnacentral:rRNA from 1 species